rnacentral:rRNA from 1 species
CAGCAGCCGCGGGAAUACGAGAGGGGCAAGCGUUGUUCGGAAUUAUUGGGCGUAAAGGGCGCGUAGGCGGUUUGACAAGUUUGGUGUGAAAUCUAUGGGCUCAACCCAUAGCCUGCAUCGAAAACUGUCGGGCUUGAGUAUGGGAGUGGUGAGUGGAAUUUCCGGUGUAGCGGUGAAAUGCGUAGAUAUCGGAAGGAACACCUGUGGCGAAAGCGGCUCACUGGACCAUAACUGACGCUGAUGCACGAAAGCUAGGGGAGCAAACAGGAUUAGAUACCCCUGUAGUCCCUGUCUCUUAUAC